rnacentral:rRNA from 1 species
GACGAACGCUGGCGGCGUGCCUAAUACAUGCAAGUAGAACGCUGAAGAGAGGAGCUUGCUCUUCUUGGAUGAGUUGCGAACGGGUGAGUAACGCGUAGGUAACCUGCCUUGUAGCGGGGGAUAACUAUUGGAAACGAUAGCUAAUACCGCAUAACAAUGGAUGACACAUGUCAUUUAUUUGAAAGGGGCAAUUGCUCCACUACAAGAUGGACCUGCGUUGUAUUAGCUAGUAGGUGAGGUAAUGGCUCACCUAGGCGACGAUACAUAGCCGACCUGAGAGGGUGAUCGGCCACACUGGGACUGAGACACGGCCCAGACUCCUACGGGAGGCAGCAGUAGGGAAUCUUCGGCAAUGGGGGCAACCCUGACCGAGCAACGCCGCGUGAGUGAAGAAGGUUUUCGGAUCGUAAAGCUCUGUUGUAAGUCAAGAACGGGUGCGAGAGUGGAAAGUUCACACUGUGACGGUAGCUUACCAGAAAGGGACGGCUAACUACGUG